AAGAUGAUACUUUCAGGGAUAAUUUCUAUAGUUCAUUACUAGAAAAAUUUCUCUAAAUGUGUAGAGAAAAAAAAAAUUCUGGCCGGG
ensembl:snoRNA U3 Small nucleolar RNA U3